CCCUUAACUAUUAAAAGUUUCGUUUUGGUCCUUUAACUUACUUUUUGAUUUCGUUUUGGUCCAUUAACUCUUCCUCCGUCAACUACUUUGGUCCUUUAUGUUAGGAUGAAUGUAUUAGAGUUAAGGGACCAAAAUGAAACCAAAAAAUAAGUCAAGGGACCAAAACGAAACCAAAAAAAUAAGUUAAGGGACUAAAACGAAACUUUUAAUAGUUAAGGGACCAAAAGAAAACUCAAAAAUAAAUUAUGGGACCGAAAAGAAACUUUUAAUAGUUAAGGAA
rnacentral:pre_miRNA from 1 species